UACGUAGGAGGCGAGCGUUGUCCGGAAUUACUGGGCGUAAAGAGCGCGUAGGCGGCGCUGUACGACCGCUGUGAAAGCCCCCGGCUCAACUGGGGAGGUCAGCGGUAACGGCAGUGCUACGAGUGCAGGAGAGGGAAGUGGAACUCCGGGAGUAGCGGUGAAAUGCGUAGAUACCCGGAGGAACACCAGUGGCGAAGGCGGGCUUCCCUGGUC
rnacentral:rRNA from 1 species